rnacentral:rRNA from 1 species
CGAACGGUAACAGAAAGCAGCUUGCUGCUUUGCUGACGAGUGGCGGACGGGUGAGUAAUGUCUGGGAAACUGCCUGAUGGAGGGGGAUAACUACUGGAAACGGUAGCUAAUACCGCAUAACGUCGCAAGACCAAAGAGGGGGACCUUAGGGCCUCUUGCCAUCGGAUGUGCCCAGAUGGGAUUAGCUAGUAGGUGGGGUAACGGCUCACCUAGGCGACGAUCCCUAGCUGGUCUGAGAGGAUGACCAGCCACACUGGAACUGGGACACGGUCCAGACUCCUACGGGAGGCAGCAGUGGGGAAUAUUGCACAAUGGGCGCAAGCCUGAUGCAGCCAUGCCGCGUGUAUGAAGAAGGCCUUCGGGUUGUAAAGUACUUUCAGCGGGGAGGAAGGGAGUAAAGUUAAUACCUUUGCUCAUUGACGUUACCCGCAGAAGAAGCACCGGCUAACUCCGUGCCAGCAGCCGCGGUAAUACGGAGGGUGCAAGCGUUAAUCGGAAUUACUGGGCGUAAAGCGCACGCAGGCGGUUUGUUAAGUCAGAUGUGAAAUCCCCGGGCUCAACCUGGGAACUGCAUCUGAUACUGGCAGGCUUGAGUCUCGUAGAGGGGGGUAGAAUUCCAGGUGUAGCGGUGAAAUGCGUAGAGAUCUGGAGGAAUACCGGUGGCGAAGGC